rnacentral:rRNA from 1 species
UACGUAGGGCGCAAGCGUUGUCCGGAAUUAUUGGGCGUAAAGAGCUCGUAGGCGGCCAGUUGCGUCCGCUGUGAAAUCCCGGGGCUUAACCCCGGGCGUGCAGUGGAUACGGGCUGGCUAGAGGUAGGUAGGGGAGAAUGGAAUUCCCGGUGUAGCGGUGAAAUGCGCAGAUAUCGGGAGGAACACCGGUGGCGAAGGCGGUUCUCUGGGCCUUACCUGACGCUGAGGAGCGAAAGCGUGGGGAGCGAACAGG